GUCCUCCUAUCAGUCUACCAGACAAAAACCAAUUAGAGUAAGUACCCACAAGUUUCUACAAGGCUUUGAUAUCAAGUCAUAAAUGACUUGAUAAAAAUACCCCUAAAAGCAAGGCUCUAGGAGAAGAAAGCCCAAUACCUUUUUUAAUUGCAUCAAUCUCUCCAUUUAAGCCAUGUGGAACCAUAGGAUACUUAGAAAUCAUCUAGGCAAUUUCAUAUA
rnacentral:misc_RNA from 1 species